rnacentral:rRNA from 1 species
GUGGGGAAUCUUAGACAAUGGGCGCAAGCCUGAUCUAGCCAUGCCGCGUGAGCGAUGAAGGCCUUAGGGUUGUAAAGCUCUUUCAGCUGGGAAGAUAAUGACGGUACCAGCAGAAGAAGCCCCGGCUAACUCCGUGCCAGCAGCCGCGGUAAUACGGAGGGGGCUAGCGUUGUUCGGAAUUACUGGGCGUAAAGCGCGCGUAGGCGGACUGAAAAGUUGGGGGUGAAAUCCCGGGGCUCAACCUCGGAACUGCCUUCAAAACUAUCAGUCUGGAGUUCGAGAGAGGUGAGUGGAAUUCCGAGUGUAGAGGUGAAAUUCGUAGAUAUUCGGAGGAACACCAGUGGCGAAGGCGGCUCACUGGCUCGAUACUGACGCUGAGGUGCGAAAGCGUGGGGAGCAAACAGGAUUAGAAACCCCAGUAGUCC